rnacentral:rRNA from 1 species
GAUGAACGCUGGCGGCGUGCCUAAUACAUGCAAGUCGAGCGAACAGACGAGGAGCUUGCUCCUCUGUCGUUAGCGGCGGACGGGUGAGUAACACGUGUAUAACCUACCUAUAAGACGGGGAUAACUUCGGGAAACCGGAGCUAAUACCGGAUAAUAUAUUGAAGCGCAUGGUUCAAUAGUGAAGGACGGUGUUUCUGUCACGUCUAGAUGGAUCCGCGCUGCAUUGGCUGGUUGGUAAGUUAACGGCUUACCAAGGCAACGAUGCGUAGCCGACCUGAGAGGCUGAUCGGCCACAUGGGAACUUAGACGCGGUCCAGACUCCUACGGGAGGGAGCAGUCGGGAAUCUUCCGCAAUGGGCGAAAGCCUGACGGAGCAACGCCGCGUGAGUGAUGAAGGUCUUGGGAUCGUAAAGCUCUGUUAUGAGGGAAGAACCACUGUGUAAGUAACUAUGCACGUCUUGACGGUAACUAAUCAGAAAGCCCCGGCUAACUACGUG